rnacentral:lncRNA from 1 species
GGACGGGUGGGAAUUCAAAACUCCAUACACUUCGAAUGUUUGUAAUCGGUAAACGUGGUUGAUGUAAGGCGCGUACUCAAUCCGUAUGUUCUCACAUGCGACAACUGCAUGUGCGUAUGGAAACCAAAGUGCUUGGAAGCUCUCAUAUUUACAGGUCCCUUCCUUUAGGUUCACACAAUACGAUGCACCCCACAUUUCCUGGUCGGGCUAGCAUGCUGAAUGACUCAAAAAUUGAGGUUUCAAUGUGAGUGGUACACUGCAUACAUUAUGGUCGCU